rnacentral:lncRNA from 1 species
GGUAAUCUGCUUCUUUAGUUAAUAAUGUCUAUUUUUCAAUUCAGUAUUAUUUUAUCUCAUCAAAUACCAGAGUAUAUUCACAUUUUUAUAAUUGUCUCAAAAAUGUUCCUUAUUGCAUUUAAUUGUUAUACCUCUAAGAUCUCUUUCAGUCUGGUGUGGUACACUGUUUCAUGCACUAACGUGUCAGAAAGAAUGGACCAGUCAUCCAGGAGGAUGACUAAAUUAAACUAAGCUCCAUGGCUUAGUUUAGUUUCCCUGGUUAGCAGAGCCUGAGAUAAGGACUUGGCACCAAGUAGUUUUGGGAAUGUGAUCCCAUGAAGCAGAAGUUAAGGAGCAGGAAAACAAACAGGAAGAAGGAAAUGUUAAUGGAGAGAUAGACGUGUUAUUAAAGUUGCCAUUGUAAGCAAUGGGGUUCAAUUCCGCCAGGAUCUCUGAGAAAGAUCCAGAAUGCCCCUGGAAUUGCCCACCUGGAAGACAGGAGUCUGAGGUAUUUCGCUAUCUCCUUUGGGAAGGAAGACAUUAACUCCUGUCUGCUUUGAGCUGUGCUUGUACAGGCCUGGAGCUUAUCGGGUAUCAGAGAACAUCUUGAGCAAGAACAUGGAAACACUCACCCAGCAUCUCUCCCUCUAGCUGCAAUCAGAGAUUCAUCUUAUUUCUCUAUGGAGGAAUUAUCUACAAACAAAAAAGUUACCUAAGGCUUGAUAUAGCUAAAUUAACCAUUUUUGAAAAAAGAAUGAAUCGAUUACUAUUAUCUACAUAUCCCUGCGAAGAUGUGCUGAUACCUUUGAUUUUAUUUUCAAGAGACUAAUUCAUCAAAUAAACUUUUACUGAAUACCACUGUUACAGUUUGGCUGUGUCCCCACCCAAAUCUCAUCUUGAAUUGUAGCUCCCGU